UACCAGCACCCCGAGUGGUCGGGACGAUUAUUGGGCCUAAAGCAUCCGUAGCCGGUCUUGCAAGUCUUCCGUUAAAUCCAGCUGCUUAACAGAUGGGCUGCGGAGGAUACUACAAGGCUAGGAGGCGGGAGAGGCAAGCGGUACUCAGUGGGUAGGGGUAAAAUCCUCUGAUCCAUUGAAGACCACCAGUGGCGAAGGCGGCUUGCCAGAACGCGCUCGACGGUGAGGGAUGAAAGCUGGGGGAGCAAAC
rnacentral:rRNA from 1 species